ensembl:lncRNA
CUCUAUACACACCCCUCUAGGUUUUUUUUCCUCCUUUUUGGCUUCCUCUCACUGUAUUGUUUUAAGUUGGUGCCUGGGCUGACCGCCAGUUUAAAUUUCAUCUUGCCUCUCUUCUUCUCCUCCUCCUCUGCCCCCCUCCUCCUCUCCCCCUCCAUCCCCAGAAGUGAUACUGUUUACUUUCUCUGCUGCUUUCUCAAUGUCUUUGUAGGCUCUGCAAGGGAUAUAAUCACCAGCUGUGGAGAGCUUUCUGAAACUCGAACUUACUCCUCAGUGUCCCGGCUCCUUCCUCUUGGUGUAUCGCUGGGGUUUGCUGCAUGCCCCCACUCACAUCACAUGGUCCUGCCCUAGGACCCUGAGAGCCUCCUCCAACAGCAGGUCAGUUUGGCUUGGAGCUAAAGGACAAAUCCAUGGUGUACAUCAGCCCUGCCUUUCGAUGUGGUGCCAGUGUGUUGGGCUGCCAUUCAGGAGAACCGAGGUGGAAAUGGAAGCCAAACUACACGUGGCUCUUGGGUGUCUCUCUGUAUGAUAAACCAGGUUAGAGAAGCAUCUUUUGAAACCCUCAAAUAAUCAUCCUCUCCUCAACAAUUCUUAAUUAAUAAUCCUUUUCUUUCUCUUCCAGGGGGGUGCACUGUGCCAUUUCUCAACAAUGCAUGCAUUUUCUUUCCAUUGAAAUGCUAUGGUUGGUGUUACAGUUUUCAAAUUAAAAACUGAAUGUGUUUGAAUAUUUUCCCACACAAACAUUUCUUUGACUUGCAAAAUUCUUUUCUGUUAAAAGUGUCAGAGUGGAUUUUUAACCCAUUCUAAGAAAUUUUCUGCUGUCAAAAAUGACUAAUAUCCUAAACUCUCUUAAGAGUUAUUUGUCCCCAUUUUCCUUGCUGAAAAACGAUGAUUUCUGGAAUUGUUUUUGUUUUGUUUUGUUUUCUUUUUUCUCCCUUUAGUAUUCUUCUAGCAUCUCCAUAGUUUUUUCUCACCCAUGUAUAGCACUAAACUUUGGAAAGAGUGAUUUUUCUGAACAUGGAAAGUAAAAGAAAUGGCACAGUAGUUCAGCUGGGAUUAAGAAGAGAUUUAAGCCAAGCCUGAUCUAUAGGGAGAACUUUUCUGGAACCAAAAUGCUCCUACAGGUUUUUUUUUUUGAGCUUAGUAUUUUUUGGAAGUUCAAUGUACACUUCUACAAGGACUUCCAAAUGUAUCUUGUUCACUAAUAAAUUCCAAAUAAUUAUUGCUGGCUUUUGGGCU